rnacentral:lncRNA from 1 species
CCGUCUUCUCUCUCCCACCUCUCUCUCUCUCCAUCUCACACACUCACACACACAAACACACAUUAAUACACAUUAAUACACAUAGACAUACCGAGAUGAUAUGCUCGUUUAGCCGAACCACACUCCCUCUGUUGGUGGACAUUCUGAUUGCUUUGGGUUUUUCAUUAUUAUAGACGUAUUUCGAUGAACAACUUUGUACAUGUAUCUUUAUACAUCUUGAUAAAUUAAAAAGCCCUUUCUCACACCUCCUUCCUUUGUGGGAGCAGAGGGGCUGCAGACAGGAGCUGAAAGAUGUCUUUCCAAAGAGAAUUCUUGGAGACGGGGCAGCGACCACCUGCUUUCAAGGCCAAGUGAAAACGGGUGGCACAAAGUGGCAAGAGGUUCUUUUCUCUACUUCUACCAGAAUGCCUCGUACGUAGCCUCAGGGCUCUGCCCCUGGGGAGCAAGGUGACGCUCCAGCCCUCCAAGGGUGAGCCGAGCUACAGCAGGGCUGUGAGGUGGGAGGGAGCAGGGACUGCUCGGUGGUGGGCACGUCAAACCACUCCUCAGAGAGCAGAGGCUGGGGAGCACGUUCAUGGAGGGGGACAGACACUGCCUGCGUCCUGCGUGGGCUCACAGGAAAUAUCCAUCAGCAACGACAAAGGUAAUCUAGAGAAUUAGCUGCACUAGCAGGUGGAAUAAGACCGCUAUAAUAUGGGCAAUCACUCAAUCUAACAGUUUCCGAAGGCCGGUAUUGACCUGGGGAAACACGGCAAACAGCUACCACUUAUUGAGCAUUUAUACAUAUCGCCUUGUGGGAAUCCCAAAACAACUUCACACAGUAAAGCUCAUUGGUGUCAACUUUGGGGGAGGCACGCAUCUGGGGCGCGGAGAGGUCGAGUGACCCGCUCAUGGACUUGCACCCAGGUCUCACCGAGGCGGGAUUCAUGCCCUUAACCAUUAUGUCAUGCCGCUGGAUGUCCAAUUAAAUGACAACUCACUUGAGGGGGAAACCAAGAAGAAACUGACCAGUCUUAUUAUCGAUUCUUUACUUUUGUUUUGUCUCCAUUCUCCACUGAGCUAAGGGGCUACACUCUCAUUUAUCCAUCAGGUGCCCAUGUGAACAUGUGCUUUUUCUCCUUGAGUAUCUCAAGUAUUUCACGCUUCUCCAGACCUGACAUUUUGUUAUAUUUUUGGUUGAUAAUCUGUUGAGAAAUAGCUUCUUAGAUAAUUUCACCAUCAUCACUCAUGUCUAGGGAAUACCACUUAACCGUUGUGGAAAAAUUAUAGUUACUUAUAAAAUAACCCCUCUCAGGAAGGAAUUUGACCUUGACUGGAGGCCAUCAGGAGCCACUCAGCUUUGGUUAACAGCUCCCAGGAAGUUGUCUCUUGUGAUGGAACUUACUUGAGAAGCGUGGUGGGAUUCUUCAUCUCUUCUCAGUGGUGUCUGUUCACUGGCUUCCCCUCCCACAGCCACCUCUCCUGGAGAUGCAAUUGGCCAAUAUCCCCUCUCAGCUGCCAACUUGUCUCUGAAGGAGGAAAUACUUUGGAAACUUCGUUCCUUUUUAAAGAAAGUCUUUGGGAACCAUUGUUCGGGUAUACGUCACCCUCACUGACCUCAUCCCUGGAUGCCAUGACCUUAAUUUUUGUCUGCCGAGUCGUAUCGUCUUUGUUAAUCUUAAACUAGAGUUAUAGCAUGUGAAAACUUUUGAAAAGAUUAUUUUUGAAGCACUAAAGGUAAGUAAACUAAACUUGAAGUGGAGAAAAUCUUCACGCCUUCGUGGCUAGGAUGAGUGAUAGAAUACUGAAGGAAGACGUCCUCUCAAGCUUUAGCCUGGCUGACACCGACCACAGAGCUCCUGCUACAAGACGACAUCUGUGGGGAUACUGGCCUGGGCUUACUUCACCGUGGUGAUCUGUUUUUCCUGAAGAGAUGAAUUGAGAUCAUGGACGCUCCCUCGGGAGAGAACUCAAACAUGAAAGCAGAAAGACCCAGAGAGCCUUCCUCGACUAGCAUGAGACGUGCAACAUGACUCAGCCGUGAGCCGUCUCUGAGGAAUUGCUGGCUCAGACACUGAAUUGUCUUCAUACAAACGCGGCUGCACCAGUUUGCCCAUCUGAUUUACACCUCGGCACCAACAUCAGGUUCCAAAAAUUUCCAUGGGGCGAGCAAGAGAACCUGCCAGCCACCCAAGACAUGGCCCUGCAGACAGGCCUGGAUGCAGCGUCCCCGGCAGACGGUGGACCGUGCUGCAGGACACGGAUGCUUCCAUUCGCUCACCACGAAGAGAGGCGAGCGGCUUCCAGACCUGCGCGCCCAUCAGGCACAGCUCGAAUGAAGCCAGGUCAGGACAGGAGCUGACAGCGGCCACCUCCCAUCCUCCCAUCUCCCACCCGCUCAGAGGCGUCCCUGUACCUAGUUUCUCCAAAUGGCAACAACUCUAGAACAACUGUGAUAUUGACAUUGAUACUGUCCACCAAUCUGAUUCAGUUUCUCCUGUUUACUUGCGCUUACUUGUGUACGUGUGUGUGUUUAACUCUAAGCAAUUUAUUUCAGAUGUGUAGGUUUCUGUAUCCACCAUCACAAUCAAAAUAUGAAACUGUUACAUCACCAUAAGAAUCCUCUUUAUUGCCUAUUUAUAGGAGACUUCCUUCCCCAAUGUGUGUGAACACAUGUGUGUGAACAUAAGUUUUAAUUUCUCUAGGAUAAGUGCUCAAGUGUACAAUUAAUGAGUUGUGUGGCAAUUGCAUGUUUAGUUUUAUAAGAAACUGCCAAACUAUUUUCCAGAGUAACUGUACCAUUUCACGUUCCCACCAGCAAAGUAUGAGUGAUCCAGUUUCUCCUCAUCCUUGCCGGCAUUUGAUGGUGUUGUUUUUUCACCUUUAGUCAUUCUGACAGGCAUGUAGUGAUGUAUCAUUGUGAUUUUAAUUUGCAUUUCCCUAAUGCCUAAUGCUGAGCAUAUUUUCAUGUGCUUACUUGACAUCUGUAUAAUCUUUGGUGAAAUAUCUGUUCAUCUCUUUUGCUCACAAAAUGCAAAAAUCUUUUCACUAGUAAAUUCAUAGAUAUAUCAGCGGAGAUUUGCUAGGAUACAGGUGCAAGAAAGUUCAUUGUAACAAUAUUUUAGGAAUAAAACAGCAACAGCCACAAAGCCCACCCUGGAAACAGUGUAAAGAACGUUAGUAGGGAUUGACCCAAUUAUCACUGCUCUGUGGUAUGAUCAAACAGUGGGGCCAAAUAAUGGGACAAAGGUAAAAGUCUGGAGUCCCUUAAAGAAGGAAAGGUUACCACUCACCUCACAUGGAUUGUGACAUCCCAGAGACGACAGCUCCCAGGGAGAGGACAAGCAUCCCGAACUUCGCUUUCCCAUGGGGCGCUGCAGACACCACCUCAUCGGCCAGGGGUCCCCCUGGGCCCUCUGCAAAGCUCCCUUUGCUUCUGCUUGUGGGGUUUUGGGUCCCCUGGCUUUUUCCAGCCACUCUGGAAAGUCUUCCCACCAGGUGCCAGUUGGAAGUGGAGACCUCAGCACACACCUGGAGCGAUGUACUGAAGACUGAGCUGGUCCAGGCCACUCCAAGUUUCCCACGUUUCUCCUCUGUAAUGGAACCUGACUCUGUGUUUCGAUGUUUGAUUGCUGACACAUCUGAGGCUUCUACUCUCCCUCUUCCCCUGGUGCCCCACAUCCAGGCAAGCUGGAAAGCUCAGCUGCUCCCAGCUUUGGCACGGCGGCAGUUUCAAACCAUGCCAGCCCCUUCCUGGGGACAGUAGCUCCUACCUGGGCCCACCCACAGCCACAACACAAACCCCAAGCCGGUCUCCUUUCCUUGCUCUCUCAGCCAUUUCCAAACCCGCUUGGGAAGCUCUCCUGUUCUUCCCUGAAUGCCUCAUCAUGAAAGUAACUAAUCUUUCACACCCUCUUGGUGUGCGGCCACCGCACCCUCCCUGGUACGUCCAGGCCUGAGGCCCUAUUCUUAUAAUCCAUGACUGAAGUCUGUUCCUAUAACCCAUCCCUGACCUAAGAUUUCAUACUUUUUAACCAGUAAUGCAGUAGGUCUAAUCUCUUUUCAACUUAUUUUUUUAAAAUAAAAUGUUCUUACAUCUCAGGUAGAAAACAAAACAAAUCACAUUUCCGUUGCUACAGUAACACUCUGAAGUCAGUGAGGAAUCAAUUAUACGCAUCACAGUAUUUCACAUUUCUUUCCCAGCAGUUUGUUCCUCCCAACCCCACUCCACCAUUUUUAUUUAUUUAUUUAAAGAUUGGCACCUGAGCUAACACCUGCUGCCCAUCUUUUUUCUUUUUCUUUUUCUUCUCCCCAAAUCCCCCCAGCACAUAGUUGUAUAAUCUAGUUGUGAGUCCUUCUGGUUCUGCUAUGUGGGACGCCACCUCAGCAUGGCCUGAUGAGCGGUGCCAUGUCUGUGCCCAGGAUCCAAACCAGCAACACCCCAGGCCGCUGAAGCAGAGUGCACGAUCUUAACCACUCGGCCACGGGGGCGGCACACCACCAUUUUUAAAUAAAAGAACAUGGCUACUAAUUAACCCAUGUUAGAAGAUUUGCAGUGGUUCUCAAAUGCAAGCUAGUUUGUCCCUUAGGUAGGGUGACCAGUGGUCUUAGUGUGCCCAGGACUUUCCUGAUUUUAGCUCUGAAAGUCUGUAUCCUGGAAACCCCCCAGUCCCAGGUAAGUUGGGACAGUUGGUCACCCUACCCCCAGGGGAUCUUGGUAAGGUCUGGAGACAUUUUUGGUUGUUACGACUGUGUGUGUGUGUGUUCUACUGUAUCUAGUGAGUAGAGGCCACAGACGCUGCUAACCAUCUUACAACAUGUGGACAGUUCACCACAACAAAGGAUAUCCAAAAUGUCAACAGUGCUAAGGUUGAGAAACUGCUGUAGCACUGUGCUCUUCAAAGUGUGGUCUUUGGAUUAGCAGCUUGGAUACCAAGGAGAGUCUGCAUGUUAGAAAUGCAGCAACUCUGGGCCCAUCCCAGAGCCAGUGGGCCGGGGUCAGCCAGCCAUUUAACAAGCCCCCUGGGUGAUUUGCGUACACAUUGAAGCUGGAGAAGUGCUGCUCCAGUAUUUACGGUUUAUUCUUUCUGAGUGUCAGCAUGACACAGGCUCAGACAGUUCUGAUUAAUUAUAUUCACUGAUUUUUAUUGAGCUCCAGUGUCACCAUGGGGUCACCAGUAGCCUCUCUUUCCAGGGUGCCUUCUCACCCAGGGGCCUCUGAAAGCAUUGUUGACCUGUGACACGAUGUCUCAGAUUCAUCUUCUGCUCUCCUGCACCUGGAAGGAACCUUCUUUCUAAAGAGAGCUGCUUCCAUUUAGUGGAGAACAAGACUGAGAGACCAAAACCCGGCCGUGGGGUUGUACAUCUGAGCACGGGAUAGAAUAAGACAAUAGCCAAGAAGUUAAACAGACCUUUCCCUCACAGGGUCCUCCAAUGGGAUCCGUACAGUGAGUGGAUAGAAGCCGUGAAAGGAAACCUUAGAAAAAUACAAGUGACUGCAUUUCAGCCUAACACUCUUCUUUCACCCUUCAUCUGCAUGGGCACUAGUGUCAUUUAUCAUGCACAGUUUUAGUUUUGAACUCCACUUUCUCAAAGACCUUUGGACAAUUACGUAAUAACUAUAGCAAUACAGCAGUCCAAAUUUAAAAAGUUAAUAAAGCAUGUAAGCAAAUACAACUGCGUUAAUAUUAAGAGUCAUCAGAGGUGGAGAGUUAUUUCAUGGGAUGGCCUGUGUUUCAAGGGAAGCAGCUAAAAAUGAGGUGGCAAGUAAUGAUCUGGGAGCAGCAGUUGGAGGCCGGAAGAAUUCUGGGCGGGCGAGCUGCUGGGAAGGUAGGGGCUUGGGGAAACACCAGGCUUCCGCAGAGGCAGGAAGUGAAUUCUGCUAACAACCAAUGAGCUUGAAAAAGAACCUUGAGCCUCUGAUGAGACUGUGGCCCCGGCCAGCACCCUGCCUGCGGCCUGUGAGCGCGUGAGCCCGCGAGCAGAGAACCUGGUUGAGUCAUGCCUGGACUUCUGACCUACAGAACAGUAAAUGGGUGCUGUUUUAAGCUACUAGUUUGUGGUAAUUUGUUACACGGCAAUAGAAAACUAAUACAUUCCACCUUCUAUGUUCAAUUGUAGAGCAUAGGAUCCUUAAUCCUUUCUCUGUCCUGCCAUUCCAGAGGAACUGGUUAAAGUGUGUCAGUGACUGCAGGUCAUCACGGCAGGAUUUUCCCCAGGGAUGGGAGGGGUCGUCUGAAAGAGCCAUCACUUGAUUCUGUUCACCUCUGUUAUCAAUCACUACUGCAAAUGAUUUAGGCAUUUUCUUCCAUUUUUUCUAUUUAUCAAAA